GACGAACGCUGGCGGCGUGCUUAACACAUGCAAGUCGAACGGAAAGGCCCUGCUUUUGUGGGGUGCUCGAGUGGCGAACGGGUGAGUAACACGUGAGUAACCUGCCCUUGACUUUGGGAUAACUUCAGGAAACUGGGGCUAAUAUCGGAUAGGAGCUCCUGCUGCAUGGUGGGGGUUGGAAAGUUUCGGCGGUUGGGGAUGGACUCGCGGCUUAUCAGCUUGUUGGUGGGGUAGUGGCUUACCAAGGCUUUGACGGGUAGCCGGCCUGAGAGGGUGACCGGCGACAUUGGUACUGAGGUACGGCGCAGACUCCAACGGGAGGCAGCAGUGGGAAAUCUUGCACAAUGGGCGGGAGCCUGAUGCAGAAACGCCGCGUGCGGGGUGACGGCCUUCGGGUUGUAAACCGCUUUCGCCUGUGACGAAGCGUGAGUGACGGUAAUGGGUAAAGAAGCACCGGCUAACUACGUG
rnacentral:rRNA from 1 species